rnacentral:rRNA from 1 species
CCUACGGGUGGCAGCAGUGGGGAAUAUUGGACAAUGGGGGGAACCCUGAUCCAGCCAUGCCGCGUGUGUGAAGAAGGCCCUCGGGUUGUAAAGCACUUUCAGUGAGGAAGAACGCCUGGUGGUUAAUACCCAUCAGGAAAGACAUCACUCACAGAAGAAGCACCGGCUAACUCCGUGCCAGCAGCCGCGGUAAUACGGAGGGUGCGAGCGUUAAUCGGAAUUACUGGGCGUAAAGCGCGCGUCGGUGGCUUGAUAAGCCGGUUGUGAAAGCCCCGGGCUCAACCUGGGAACGGCAUCCGGAACUGUCAAGCUAGAGUGCAGGAGAGGAAGGUAGAAUUCCCGGUGUAGCGGUGAAAUGCGUAGAGAUCGGGAGGAAUACCAGUGGCGAAGGCGGCCUUCUGGACUGACACUGACACUGAGGUGCGAAAGCGUGGGUAGCAAACAGGAUUAGAUACCCUGGUAGUC